CGUCAAGAUAGUAAGGGCACACGGUGGAUGCCUUGGCACCUAGAGUCGAUGAAGGACGUGAACGGCUGCGAUAAGCCGCGGUGAGGCGCUGAAUAGCCUUUGACCCGCGGAUUUCCGAAUGGGGAAACCCGGCGCUGGUAAUGCGGCGUUACCUCCUGAUGAACACAUAGUCAGGGUGGGGACAAGCGGGGGAAGUGAAACAUCUCAGUACCCCGAGGAAAGUAAAUCAACCGAGACUCCCUGAGUAGUGGCGAGCGAAAAGGGAUCAGCCCAAACCUGUUGCGUGUAAGCAAUCACGCGUUGCGUAAUGGGGGUUGUAGGGCGUGCGUUCCGGGUCGUGAUUGGCCUGGCAGGAGUUACAAAGUUGUGUGGUAGUCGAAGAGCCUGGAACGGCUCACCAAAGAGGGCAAUCGUCCCGUAGGCGAAACUGCAUGAUCUCCUGUCGUAUGUUCCUGAGUAAGUCCGCGCCCGUGAAACGCGGACUGAAUCUGGGGGGACCACCCUCCAAGGCUAAGUACUCCUAGGUGACCGAUAGCGGACUAGUACCGUGAGGGAAAGGUGAAAAGUACCCCGGAAGGGGAGUGAAAUAGUACCUGAAACCGUGUGCCUACAAGCGGUGGGAGCAGACGUGUUCUGUGACCGCGUGCUUUUUGCAUAACGAGCCGGCGAGUUACUCGUCUGCGGCGAGGUUAAGCGAUGAGCGGAGCCGUAGCGAAAGCGAGUCCGAAUAGGGCGUUUUAGUCGUAGGCGGUAGACCCGAAACUGAGCGAGCUACCCAUGGGCAGGUUGAAGCGGGGGUAAGACCUCGUGGAGGACCGAACCGACCUAGGUUAAAAACUGGGCGGAUGACCUGUGGGUCGGAGUGAAAGGCUAAUCAAGCUCAGUGAUAUCUGGUUCUCUCCGAAAUAUAUUUAGGUAUAGCCUCGGAUAAAUUUGCGUUUUGGCCGUAGAGCACUGUUUGGACGCGGGGCCCUACCAGGUUACCAACUUCAGGCAAACUCCGAAGACCAUUACGUGUACUCCGGGAGUCAGUUGCUGGGGGAUAAACUUCAGCGUCAAGAGGGAAACAGCCCAGACCGCCAGCUAAGGUCCCCAAAUGCUAGCUAAGUGGCAAACGAUGUUCGAGUGCAUAGACAACCAGGAGGUUGGCUUAGAGGCAGCCAUCCUUGAAAGAGUGCGUAACAGCUCACUGGUCAAGUGUUCGAGCGCGGAUAAUGUAACGGGGCUUAAGCUAGCUACCGAAGCUGCGGGUUCAUGAUGCUCUUUGAGCUGAUUGAGCGGUAGGAGAGCGUUCCGAUGCCAGUGAAGCGGCGGGGUAACCCAGUCGUGGAGGCUUCGGAAGUGAGAAUGCCGGCAUGAGUAACGAAAGAAGGGUGAGAAUCCCUUCCACCGAUUGCCUAAGGAUUCCUGAGUAAAGUUCGUCUGCUCAGGGUUAGUCGGGACCUAAGGCGAGGCCGAAAGGCGUAGUCGAUGGCCAACAGGUUGAUAUUCCUGUACCACGUCGUGAUCGUUUGACCGAUGGGGGGACGGGGAAGGCUACGGGAGCCCAGGCGAUGGUCGUCCUGGGGUAAGCAUGUAGGGGUGGGCCUAGUGAAAUGCGGGUCUGCGUAACCUGAGGUGCGAUGCCAGCUGGCUUUGAGCCGGCGAGUCCCUUACGCCAUGCCUCCAAGAAAAUCCUCUAGGGAGAACACGCGUGCCCGUACCAAAACCGACACAGGUGGGCAAGUAGAGAAUACUAAGGUGAUCGAGAUAACCCUCGUUAAGGAACUCGGCAAAAUCGCCCCGUAACUUCGGGAUAAGGGGCGCCCUAGUAGGGUGAAGGCCGUACGGCUGGAGUCCGAGGGGGCCGCAGUGAAUAGGUCCAAGCGACUGUUUACCAAAAACACAGGUCUCUGCUAAGUCGAAAGACGACGUAUAGGGGCUGACGCCUGCCCGGUGCCGGAAGGUUACGUGGAGGUGUUAGGGCUUUCGGGUCCGAAGCACCGAAGCUAAGCCCCGGUAAACGGCGGCCGUAACUAUAACGGUCCUAAGGUAGCGAAAUUCCUUGUCGGGUAAGUUCCGACCUGCACGAAUGGCGUAACGACUUGGACGCUGUCUCAACGAGGGGCUCGGUGAAAUUGCAGUCUCGGUGAAGAUGCCGAGUACCCGCGGCUAGACGGAAAGACCCCGUGAACCUUUACUACACCCUGGUAUUGGAAUUCGAUCCAUUUCGCUCAGGAUAGGUGGGAGGCUUGGAAGCAUCGGCUGCGGCUGGUGUGGAGCCAUCCUUGAGAUACCACCCUUGAUGUAUUGGGUUUCUAACACCGCGCCGUGAAUCCGGGCGGUGAACAGUGCCAGGCGGGUAGUUUGACUGGGGCGGUCGCCUCCCAAAAUGUAACGGAGGCGCACAAAGGUUCCCUCAGCACGGUUGGAAAUCGUGCGUAGAGUGCAAAGGCAGCAAGGGAGCUUGACUGCGAGACCGACAGGUCGAGCAGGUGCGAAAGCAGGUCUUAGUGAUCCGGCGGUAGCAAGUGGAAGUGCCGUCGCUCAACGGAUAAAAGGUACUCCGGGGAUAACAGGCUUAUCGGGCCCAAGAGUCCACAUCGACGGCCCGGUUUGGCACCUCGAUGUCGGCUCGUCGCAUCCUGGGGCUGUAGUAGGUCCCAAGGGUUGGGCUGUUCGCCCAUUAAAGCGGUACGCGAGCUGGGUUCAGAACGUCGUGAGACAGUUCGGUCCCUAUCUGCCGUGGGCGUUGGAGAGUUGAGAGGAUUUGUCCCUAGUACGAGAGGACCGGGAUGAACGCACCUCUGGUGUAUCUGUUGUCCUGCCAAGGGCAUCGCAGGUUAGCUACGUGCGGAUUGGAUAACCGCUGAAGGCAUCUAAGCGGGAAGCCAGCCUCAAGAUGAGCUCUCCCACCUCCUUGAGAGGGUAAGAACCCUGGGAGACCACCAGGUUGAUAGGCCAGAUCUGGAAGAGCGGUAACGCUCGUAGGAGACUGGUACUAAUUGUUCGAGGGCUUGACGGA
rnacentral:rRNA from 1 species